rnacentral:rRNA from 1 species
GAUGAACGCUGGCGGCGUGCCUAAUACAUGCAAGUCGAACGAGGUGCUUUUUGUAGCACUACGAGAAGUAUCCUAGUGGCGAACGGGUGAGUAACGCGUUGGUGACCUGCCCCAAAGUGUGGGAUAACAGUUCGAAAGAACUGCUAAUACCGCAUGUUAUCAACGGAUUUAGAAACUGAUGAUUAAAGCAGUAAUGCGCUUUGGGAGGGACCUGCGUCCCAUCAGCUAGUUGGUGAGGUAACGGCUCACCAAGGCGACGACGGGUAGGGGACCUGAGAGGGUGGCCCCCCACAAUGGAACUGAAACACGGUCCAUACACCUACGGGUGGCAGCAGUAGGGAAUAUUGCUCAAUGGGCGAAAGCCUGAAGCAGCAACGCCGCGUGUGCGAUGAAGGCCUUCGGGUCGUAAAGCACUUUUCUGGGAGAUGAGAAAGGACAGUAUCUCAGGAAUAAGUCUCGGCUAACUACGUGCCAGCAGCCGCCGUAACAC